CUUAUAUUAACGUUUUGUCGAUUGGGGUAGUAAAUAAAAUCCUUUUCUUGCUCGUCCACGCUGACUCGCGGACAUGGUCGCGAAAUAUCAAACAUGUGACACGACAUCGAGGUGUUCACGUACAAAACGCAGGUGCGGGUAAGUAGCGGGUAAUCUAGCGACUGAAACGCGCGACCAGGUCGCGGUGAUAUCAAACGCCUAAAGACGUUUGUGUGUGUGUUUAAGUCAAACUAAUGGUAGAGCGCGCGAUUCACUGGCGCCAUCAGGUAAGUUUAAAUGGUUUAACGUGAACACAAGCUCGUGACGACUACCGCGCCCGCGCGUUCAACGUGAACGAGUGCCUAGAGAUCGAAGUAAAGAUUAGUACAGCCCAUCGUAUCGUUAUUUAUCUUAAUAUUAAAACUGAAGCAUAUGUCAACCAAUAAUGUUACAGAUAAAGAUAAUUUACAAGGCUGGUAAAGGUAAGGGAGGAUCUUCGCCUGGCGUUGCCGGUGAGGCUGGCGGUGUUUGUGCAAAACUUAAGAAGAAACAUCGCUGCGUUUGUCCCCCUCAACCUAAGAAUAUCUGCGGUGCUGCUCUAGGCACAACGACAGCAAUCCGCCGCCGUCGCGUGAGGUCCAAGUCCAAAAGUUCAACAUAACUCAGAGGGACGUCAAUGCUUUACGAACAAAUUCAUCAAUAGGUGGAAAUUAAUUCAGUAUUAAGUAUACCUACCACU